GGGGUGUGACUGCGUACCUUUUGUAUAAUGGGUCAGCGACUUAUAUUCUGUAGCAAGGUUAACCGUAUAGGGGAGCCGGAGGGAAACCGAGUCUUAACCGGGCGUUAAGUUGCAGGGUAUAGACCCGAAACCCGGUGAUCUAGCCAUGGGCAGGUUGAAGGUUGGGUAACACUAACUGGAGGACCGAACCGACUAAUGUUGAAAAAUUAGCGGAUGACCUGUGGCUGGGGGUGAAAGGCCAAUCAAACCGGGAGAUAGCUGGUUCUCCCCGAAAGCUAUUUAGGUAGCGCCUCGUGAAUUCAUCUCCGGGGGUAGAGCACUGUUUCGGCUAGGGGGCCAUCCCGGCUUACCAACCCGAUGCAAACUGCGAAUACCGGAGAAUGUUAUCACGGGAGACACACGGCGGGUGCUAACGUCCGUCGUGAAGAGGGAAACAACCCAGACCGCCAGCUAAGGUCCCAAAGUCAUGGUUAAGUGGGAAACGAUGUGGGAAGGCCCAGACAGCCAGGAUGUUGGCUUAGAAGCAGCCAUCAUUUAAAGAAAGCGUAAUAGCUCACUGGUCGAGUCGGCCUGCGCGGAAGAUGUAACGGGGCUAAACCAUGCACCGAAGCUGCGGCAGCGAACGUAUCACCCAAGACAACUUUACGGAGUUGACGAUUGACGGAGCGAAGCGACGUCAAAGCGUUCAUUAAAGUCGAGUUGGCUUAGGGAUACGUUCGUUGGGUAGGGGAGCGUUCUGUAAGCCUGUGAAGGUGUGUCGUGAGGCAUGCUGGAGGUAUCAGAAGUGCGAAUGCUGACAUAAGUAACGAUAAAGCGGGUGAAAAGCCCGCUCGCCGGAAGACCAAGGGUUCCUGUCCAACGUUAAUCGGGGCAGGGUGAGUCGACCCCUAAGGCGAGGCCGAAAGGCGUAGUCGAUGGGAAACGGGUUAAUAUUCCCGUACUUGGUGUUACUGCGAAGGGGGGACGGAGAAGGCUAUGUUGGCCGGGCGACGGUUGUCCCGGUUUAAGCGUGUAGGUGUGUGUUCCAGGUAAAUCCGGUUCACUUUAACACUGAGGCGUGACGACGAGGCACUACGGUGCUGAAGCAACAAAUGCCCUGCUUCCAGGAAAAGCCUCUAAGCAUCAGGUAACACGAAAUCGUACCCCAAACCGACACAGGUGGUCAGGUAGAGAAUACCAAGGCGCUUGAGAGAACUCGGGUGAAGGAACUAGGCAAAAUGGUGCCGUAACUUCGGGAGAAGGCACGCUGACACGUAGGUGAAGUGAUUUACUCAUGGAGCUGAAGUCAGUCGAAGAUACCAGCUGGCUGCAACUGUUUAUUAAAAACACAGCACUGUGCAAACACGAAAGUGGACGUAUACGGUGUGACGCCUGCCCGGUGCCGGAA
rnacentral:rRNA from 1 species